rnacentral:rRNA from 1 species
AAUAAGACUUUAAUUGAGUGCUAAGAGAAUGGAAUUUCAUAAAAUUUCUUUUUUAAUUUUAAAAAUUGAAAUUAAUUUUAUAUGUGAAGAAACAAUAAUAAAAAUUAAGGACAAGAAGACCCUAAGAAUUUUAAAGAUUUCAAUAAAAUUUUGUAUUUUAUUGAAAUCUUUUAAUUGGGGCGAUUAUUAAAUAUUAAAAACUUUAAUUUUUUUAAAAAAGAACCAAUAAUAUUGGUUAUUUGAAAAAAUACUCUAGGGAUAACAGCGUAAUAAUUUUUGAUAGUUCUUAUAGACAAAAUAGUUUGCGACCUCGAUGUUGGAUUAGGAUUCUUUUUUAA